rnacentral:lncRNA from 1 species
CACAUUGUACACCUUUUUCCCUUUCCAAGUUUCCUUUUUGUCAGACCAACAUUUCACCUUGAAGAAUGUUGAAUUUGCAGAGAGGGCAGGUUGCAUUAAUUCGCAGCCAUCUGCGGAUGCAUCGGUAAUGAAAAUGGUGGUUGCAGGGGAGAGUGCACACCUCCACUCCAUCCUCAUAGCCAUGAAGGCAUAUGCAGCAUUCCUGCAAUGGGUAAGUAUUCAAACCAAAGCUCAGAGUUACGGUCAUGAUUAAAACAUAAGGAAUUAGCAGUAAGAAACAUCAACAAUUAUGUUGUUCAGAAAAACAGCAGGUAUGAGAAGGCUGAAGACCAGAAUAUAUCGGAGUACUCAAACCCAGGUGACUUUCAACCUAAAAUUGGGGGAAAAAAGCCAUAAGAAAUUGAUUAAAGAGUUAAAUACACAAUUACCCAAAGUUAAUUGCUAAGUUAUCAAUUUACGGCUGGCACAUGUUAGCAAAUAUUAACUAAAUUGACAAAUAAAAUGGUUACAUAACACAGACGAAUCUCAACCCAAUUCAUCUGCCAAUUCAACUGUCAAAAAGAGGCACUAUUCCAACAUACAAGGAAUUAGAAUACCAUGCCAAAAGCCAUCUUCAAUCUGCAAGUCAUGAUCAAAUAUUUCCAAAGUCUUACCAUAAAGUCUAUAAUACAUAUGUUAGUAGAUGAUUUUCCAGUAUAGUGAAAUGGCACUUAAGAAGGGUGUUAAGCAUGAUUCCUGAACUACUAAAAGCUGAAUACUGAAGAGUUGACUGACAAUCACACCCCAAGAAAGAAUGCCCACAAAUCCAAAGCUUAGACCACUCAGUCAGUCAAAUGUUAAAUGAUGCACACAUCUAUAACCAACUUGCAGAAGUCAAAAGCAUAAGGAGGACUAUAUUACUUAAUAGCAUAUAGUAUAUCAAACAAAGAGGUCAGUACCCAAAUGCAAAAUAACAUAACAAGCAAUUUAGCCUGUCAAACUUUUGCUUUUGCCAGUUGCUAUAUUCUCGGAAAGUAAUUUUGUUAACUAGACACCAAAAAGAUGCAACUGUAAAAGCUUUAUCUCUGCAUAUGUAAAGACUAAUCCAAGAAAUUUAGAAGGCGACCUUCAUGGUCCAAGUAUACAAAACUAAGUUCUUCAAGUGCUGCAACGUCUUCUCCAAAACCCCACACUUAGGAAACUGUGCAAUUUUCUGCUGUAUAAACUAGAAUCCAUAAAUAAUUUUUGCCACAAAAUGUGCAGCCAGGUCAUCAACCAACUUGAGUGUUUGGAAUAUAAGCUUCGGUGGGGAAUCCUAUGAAAUUCCUACCAAUAGAGCAGAGGAGACAUAUCAAACUUGAUUUUGUACCAGUUCUGUUAAUUGCAACCAUACAGCUUAUGCCAUGAGGAAGCAGAU